ensembl:lncRNA
CCGAGAGCAGUGAUGAAGCUCUCAACAAAAAUGGCUGCACCAAUGAACAGAUUUAUUUUCUUUGUAUUUUAUUUUAAAUGCUCUUACACCCUUGAUUACAUUGCUACUUUAUUCCGCCAAUUUAUGCAUUGGUUGCUGUCUUGCUGUUGGUGCAAUACAAUGUAGAGUUUUGUUGUUUGUUUUCGGGCUGGUUUGCUAAAGAUGCUAAUGUAGCUGUCAGCUAACAAUGAACAACUGCUAGCAAACUUCAUGACACAAUCACAAAGACGAACAGGAACACUAUGAAUGCUCCGAGACUGGAAACGUCAAAAGUGCAACUCGGAAGGCUGGCGUCCGAGGAUUCAGGAACACACCAUUAUUCAUCGAUGAUGGGAGAACACCAGGGUUCCCUUGUGCUGGCCAUCCUGUCGUCCAUCCUCCUCUUUGUCAUCACGCUGGUGUUCAAUGGUCUGGCGGGACCUGGAAUAUAUCCAUUUCUGGGGACAACGGCCAACAUAUCAGGGGAGUAUGAGACGGAGAUCACGCCUGCAGGCUGGACCUUCGCCAUCUGGUCUCUUAUAUACGUGUGGCUGGUCCUCAUGUUCGUCUACAUCCUCUCCGGCUGCUGCAGGAAAAACUCCUACGGCUAUGUGUACUGCAGUCCUCCUGUCCUUUCACAUGGCUUUUUCAUGGCAUGGUGCAUGAACAUGGGCUUGAACACUGCAUGGCUGUUUCUGUGGGAUAGAAGCUUGAUGAUCGUUGCCGCUGUGUUCCUUCUCCUGAUUGCCGGCUCAAACUACAUCAUGAUCUCCUUCGCCUGCCGCGGUCUCCAUGUUCACGGCGCGUGGCUCAGCAAAUAUCACAGACUCGAUCUUUGGCUGCACCGUGUGUGUGUUCAGAAUGGUCUGGCCUUGUACGCUACAUGGACAACGGUCGCCACUCUUGUUAAUCUGACCAUUGUGCUCGACUACGAUGCAGAGAUGCUUCCAGAGAACGCUGCCACAGUCACUCUAUCCGUGCUUACGUGUAUUUUGCUGGCCUGGUGUGUUUUAGAGAACUGGGUCCUGGAGAGGCAUGUGCGCUACAUCGUGACAGUGUAUCCAGUGGUGAUCUGGGCCCUCUGUGGGGCCGUGUCCAGCCACUUCGACCCCAGCGCACCCAGCCAGAGUGGCCUCUUCCUAGUGGCGCUCCUGGCCCUGUCCUGCGCGCGCUGUGUGCUGUGAAGCUUGGCCUGGCGGUCUGGAGGCACGUCAAGCGGCCCCUGUAUCAAGACGUGAAGGCAGAGGACAUGGAGCCCAUGGAAAUUGCUCAAAGACAGAAAAAGAUUUUUAAAUGAACAUUGUUGCACUUAACCCAGAAGAUUAGACACAACAUCCGAAUUAAUGAUAUAUUUUGCAUACUUUUGUAUUUAUAAUGACUUUUGCGUAUUUUGUGUCAAUUGUGUGUUUGGCUCAAAGCCCAAUUUUGUGUCAUUUGUAUUUUUAACGAAGUUGAAAAAAAAAACAAAUAUGUGCUUUAGUACAUUCUGUUGAACAAAUAAUAUAAAUAAUGUUGUAAAUGUUGUUGAAUGAUUUUCUUUUUGUAAUGUGAAAAUAAAACAAUACAAUAUUA